CCACAAACACAAAGUUUGUGCACUUUCCUGAAUUCUUCCUUUUCAAUUCCCUCCAUUCAUUAAAGGGGGACAAAAUGAUCCCAUGGCUGAAUUUGUUGUCCUUGUUAGUGCUACUUCAAGGUGCCAAGUCUCAAGUCCAGUUAGUGGAGUCUGGAGGGAAUGUGAGAAGACCUGGGGAGUCUCUCCGUCUCUCCUGCCAAGCCUCUGGAUUCACCUUCCGAAGCUUUGAGAUGAACUGGGUGAGACAGGCUCCAGGGAAAGGCCUGGAAUGGGUGGCCUACAUAGAUACAUCUUCAUCUCCAAUUUACUACUCAGACAAAGUCAAAGGACGCUUCACCAUCUCCAGGGAUGAUUCUCGCAGCCAGCUCUAUCUGCAAAUGAACAAUCUGAAAACAGAGGACACAGCUGUCUAUUACUGUGCGAGAGUCACAUGGUACACUAAACCGAACAGUGAUGCAGUUUGUGAAAAGGCUCCAAAUUGUCCCUCUGUAACAAGUGACCAGGUACAGAAUAUGAAUGAUAUGCUCUCCUCAUCCGAUGCAGGGAAUUCAGAAACUGCUUUCCAAGCUUCACUAAGGAUGAUGUGUGGAGACACCAAAUCAGAUUGUUAUCUGUAUCCCCAGAUCCUUAAUACUGUUGAUUACCUCUACAGCGGCAUCAUUGGUACUGAGUGGAGAAGUGAAAAUGAUUCCAUGGCUGAAUUUGGUGCCCUUGUUAGCGCUCCUUGA